UUAACAAAGACUAAUAGGGAAAAAUCAAUGGUGGUAUUACACCUAUUUAGGGAAACCAUAUGUGCACUCGUGACCUUUUUGUACUUUCAUUUUUAAAAGUUAUAAAUAAACCAGUUCAUACAUUGUAAACAUGGACAAUUCGGAAUGGAUUUAGACACAGAAAGCACGUUUGAGGUAAAAUUGCCUUGAAAUGGGGGUUUACGGGUGUUUUCUAAGUCAAAUGGGUGGACAGACAAAGCUGUAUUUAGUUUACUGUGUUAAAUUUUAAAUUACCCUUACAGUUUUGUUUAUACAACAUGUGAAUUUUUUAUUUCAGUGUUAAUCAUGUUCUGAAGAGCAUUCUGUUGAAAAAUCUUAUAUGUGAAUUGGUUUGCAGAUGACACUUCAGAAUUAAAACAAAAGAUAUCAAGUUUUGAUGAAAAAGGAAGGAAGGAGGAAAAAUGGACCAAAACAGACCAAAACAGACCUUCAAAUGAACUCUAAAAGGUGCAAUAAAAUUGUUUAUCAUCUUAAAGUUGUCUUUUGUAUUCUAUUUAAUUGUUUGAAUGCAUAGAUCAUGAGUUUAUGAUCAGAUAGUAGUCAACACUGCAUUUUAUAAUGAUACACUGAAAUGAGGAUUUUUCGAACAAAUUAGACUGAAAUUGCCGUAGGAUAUGGCCUUACAUUAUAGUGAUUUUCUCUGAAAAUAUAGCUCUGACUGUGACAAAAAUUGACAGUUAUGCUUGAAAUAACUUGCAACUGGAGGGAAAAAAAUUACAUUAAGUUUAUUUGAUAUUUAGGUGUUCUUUAGGGAAACCAUAUGUGCACUCGUGACCUUUUUGUACUUUCAUUUUUAAAAGUUAUAAAUAAACCAGUUCAUACAUUGUAAACAUGGACAAUUCGGAAUGGAUUUAGACACAGAAAGCACGUUUGAGUGUUAAUCAUGUUCUGAAGAGCAUUCUGUUGAAAAAUCUUAUAUGUGAAUUGGUUUGCAGAUGACACUUCAGAAUUAAAACAAAAGAUAUCAAGUUUUGAUGAAAAAGGAAGGAAGGAGGAAAAAUGGACCAAAACAGACCAAAACAGACCUUCAAAUGAACUCUAAAAGGUGCAAUAAAAUUGUUUAUCAUCUUAAAGUUGUCUUUUGUAUUCUAUUUAAUUGUUUGAAUGCAUAGAUCAUGAGUUUAUGAUCAGA